UCCGAUAUGGUGUAGUGGCCAACAUGAUGCCCUCUCAAUUCUGUGGGAGGUUAGGCAUAGCCCCGAGUUCGAUUCUCGGUUUCGGAA
rnacentral:tRNA from 1 species